GCUUACGGCCAUAUCGCUCUGGCUCUGCCUGAUCUCAGAAGCUAAGCAGAGUAGGGCCUGGUUAGUACUUGGAUGGAAGACCGCCUGGGAAUCCCAGGAAGAAAAAGAU
rfam:Gasterosteus aculeatus cont1.011336, whole genome shotgun sequence.